AAAUGAGUUACACUUGGGGAAAAAGAAUAAACCGACAAUUACCUGUUAUGUACAAACAAAAAAGAAAUGGCAGCAUGAUUCAAGAGAUCAAACCAUAAGCUUUUACUACCUUCCAAUAGGUGCAUUGUUCGGUGAACCUGUACGACUGUUUGAGUGAUGCCGCAAUCGUAAACUUGGAAUGAUAAGAGGUUUGCAGCAAAGAAGAGCGAAAAGGAAUUCCAUUGUAAACAAUGUCAUGCUAACCCACA
rnacentral:misc_RNA from 1 species